rnacentral:lncRNA from 1 species
UUUUUGUCUUUUUUCUAUGCUCCUUUGGGUUCCAUUUUGUACAGUUACACAGAUUAGACAGACCUCCUGCAACUGUUAAGGAAUCUGAAUCAAUAAAAUUAAAAAAAAAAAUUAAAAAAAGGAUUCCAAUCCCAACCCUACAUCACACAAGUGCUCUAUACUUGUUGGGUAAUAUUACAGUACACAUUAUUAAACAACUAAUGCACUGCCUAACAUGGUGCAAAUAAACCAUUCAAUGGCCAUACUACUGUCUGCCAAACCGAUGUGCUAGAGUUGACUUUCUAACUGGCCACUGAAAAUCAGUGAUUUGUGUGAGUUCUGCAAUAAUAAAAGAGUAAAACAAUUACACAAUAAUUACUGCUGUAAAAAGUACAGUAAACAGCAACCACAGAACACGCUCAAUGAGUAACCUAAAGUGACACUUUCAACAGUGCAAUCAAUGUUUAGGGAGGGGAGGUGGCGUUAGACUUGUCGGUGAUGUGGUGUACUCUUUUUAAGUGGGUCUGCACGUUUGUCGUGCUGCCGUUGUUCGGCUUCUUAACGCAGCAUUCUUUGCAAAUGACGGACGUUUUGUCGAGCUUUCCGUCUUUCUUUGCAAAUGCGUAGUGUUUCCAAACAUGUGAUUUAAACGUAGCGGGUGCAUUACAUAUAAACUCUUCCUCGCUGCUGCUCACUUGAAUGUGGUCCAUGCUGUUUUACUAGUAGUGCAUUGUAUGUCCCUCACGGCUUCCGUCCAUAUUCAAUACAAAACUCGAAAUAAUGAUGGUGCAUUCAAUGCGCCUGGGGAACAGCAGAUGGGGUGAAGUUUAACAUGAAUAAAACGGCGCUUGCAUCGGAUUUUACCGAUACCCACCAACGCAUCUAGAUGAAUCUAGAUUUAACCUGUCAAUUGCAUCGAUACCCAGUGAAUGAGCCGACGCAGUCGCAUCGCGCACAUGCGCAUCGAUUAAUUUAGAUUAUUUUCCACACCCUUAGUUUGGACACACAACCUGACCGAAUCAACACAGCUGAAACCACAUUUAAUUAAAUUAAAUAUCUAGUAAAUAAACACACAUGAUGAUGUUAACAAGAUAUUUAAUUCGUCUCCCUCCUUUUCUUUCUUCCGCUUCCUCUUAUUUCUCGCGCAGCUGGACCUGGACAUGUCUCUGUGUCCUCUCUCCAUCCUGCUGCAGCUGCUGAACAGAUGAUUUGUUUCAGUGCCCAGAUGAGUUAUUAACUUCAAGCCUACAUACGAAUAUUAUAACAUUCAGUUUUGUGAGCCAAAUUUAUUUUAUCUGCCAACAUCUAUGAAAGAAAGAGCCAUGCCACGGAGUGUGAUGCGUCAUUUACGCACAGAUGGUUCCGAUUUUAAUGCCAUUUUUGGAGUUUAUGUUGUGAUCUGUGCGCUCAACCCACCGUUGUCACGUGAGGUUUGAAUAUAUGCAACUUUAUGUGAGUGUCUUUAUUUGUGGAAAAGGGUGUUUGUCUUACCAGUGGCUCCAACAUUACACAGCCCAAAUCCAUCUGCGCUCAUCUGAGAGAGUGUGGAGGACGCCCAAUGCAGCGCUUACAGUGACACUUGUUGAGAAGCUGCCUUCUGUCGCCAUCGUGUGGCAUUACUGUCUUCACACAUCUCUUGAUCUUUUUGACUACUUCAAGAAAAUAGUAAUAUGCCUCGCCUGUGGUGGAUUUAAAGGCAAGGAGAGGAGCUUAUGUGAUUGGUGAAAACAGGUCUCAGCUGUGUUAAACCCACUCCACGCCCUCUCUCCUCCCUCGCUACGACUUAUGCCGCUAGGAGGAGCUGAGUAAGGGAGGGGGGAUACUUACGCUGGGCUGCGCCGCUCACCAAAAUACCAAAUUGUGCUUGGGUACGCCUUGUCGGCAUGAGGGACCUGACCUACGCCACGCCUGCGGCACGUCUCCGGCAAGGCUCUAAAAAUAGAGCCCAUAGAGUACAUAAGAGGCUGUACCAUUUUUCUUGUGUUUUUUUAAUUUCUUUCUUUUUUAGGGGGGCAUUUUUAAAGUCACCUUUUUGACACUUAUUUUGUUCAUUAAAUGUGCAUAUUUUACCCCCAUUGUGAGGAUAAUGAGAAGACUAUAUAUUUUUUAGUCUGGAGACCUUUUCAUAUGGAUUCCUUGACCCCAGAAAUGUACACUUUGACACUAAUAUUAAUAUUAUAUCUCUCACAGAAACGAAGAUAUGGGGUCUGGUGUAAUAGUAGUUUAUUGUCGGUGGUCAUUUUUAAAAAUGUCUAUAAAAAAAAUUUGAAGUGUGAUCAAACUUGUCUCUUUGGAUAAAAUGUUUCCUAUGACCCUAAGGUACUUCCAUACCAAAGGGGAUAUUUGUAUCAUAACUUUAAGUUAACAGCUUAUUUUUUGGGCUUAGGGACUCCGCUAAUUUGUAUAAACUUCCCCCCUUGAAUUUAUCAAAAAUUCUUUAUGGUGUUGUAUUUUAUCUUGCAGAGUGGCAGGCCGAGCAUGCUGCUGUAACAGCUGUUUGUCUUCAGCUGUCUAGUCAUAGAUGAUCCAUGCUCCUCAUUUUAGAGCAGACAGCUGGGUGCCACUCUGAUGUCACUCUUUUUGUUGUAUUAUAAACAGCCUGUGAUUACUACCUCUGUCUCAUACAGUUACAAUUUUUUUCUCAGAAGAUUAAGAGUUUAUUUUUGUGAGUUCAUAACUCAGUUCUUUAAAAAAUCACAGGUCCUUUCUGGGGCCCUCAUUUUUCUUUGUAGCCCAUCAGGCCUCUUGGACUUAAAAACAAAAUUCACUUACAGUAUAUGCAACAAUAAGGACUAUUUUUUUGGUGUGUGGUCUCACACCAAAGUCCAACGAAGGACAGGCCCCUCCUCCUGGAGAGUGUCAGUUUUAACAUUUGAUAGCUAGGUUUGACAGAAUGGUCGUAAUUACUAUUUGGAUAGUUGGAAUUUUCAUUCAAGAUAUCUGCAUAUCAGAUAUCUGCAAUGACAUCACUAAAAACAACGUUUAACUGGCCACACAUCUUCAGUGACAAUUACAGAUAUCUGUAAUUUAGUUUUGCCUGGGCAGAAGGAAAGUUAAAGACAUCUUGAACAUCAUUAUGACAAGUGUGAAUUAUUGUGCGACGUUGCUCUGUUUUAGAAAUUCACAAAUACUCACCUUUUUUUUUUUUUUUUUUAGUUUUUCCUGUAUGUUACCUGUUUAACAAACACCUGCUCAUGAAGACCAACCUUCAUUCUGUUUAUUUUGUAUCAAAGUUAAAACUAUUAUGGAACAUUUUAACCAAGAAAAAUGCUUUUUUAUUUUCAUAAUUAUUUGCUAUUUAAACAUCUUAAAGUUCACAAAAUGAUACCUGUUUGUAAAUGCAAAUAACCACUGUGUUUCAUCAGUGCAGAUAACCUAUUUCUAUGAUGUAGCGUGAUGUUGGCAGUUUAUUUAUUGGGCUUAAAGUUCAAGAGGACAUAAUGAUUUGUAACACUGUUCUAACCAAGUGGUGAGAAAAGUGGCCAUAGAAGUUGACUGUACACUGACGAUGUCUUUGUUUGCUGACAGAAACCUUCUCUCUCAGCUCUUUUCAGGGUGAAAAUUGAACAGAAGAAAUGAGUGAUCAUAAGGAAAACAUGUUUCCUGGAAGUUAUUCGGCUGUUCUCAUGUAUCCUCAUGCGAAUCCCCUGACGUCCUUCUCUCUUCUAAAUCCUAAUAAAGCGUAGAGGCAUUUCGGCUGUUCUCCCUCUGAUGAGUCAUCAGCAGCAGCAGGCUCAGUGGAUGCUCCACACCCCAACAUUUGCAACCCUUACAUGCAUCACACCCCAACAUGCAUAAGGGUACAAGGAGGUGUUCAGUGCUGCUUGCAGCUUCAGUUUUAUUCAGUUUUGCCUGCAGUUUCAGUUGGUUUCAGUUUGUCAGUGUUUCUGUUCAUUUGGAAACUUGACUGAGGAUGAGGAUGAUACAAUUCUAUAAAAAAAUCUUUAACCAAUGAUAGGACCUUAACAUUUUCAGGGCUUUAAAGAUGAGCGCCUCCCUGGUUUAAAAGCUAUGCUAUGAAGUUCGACUGAGCUUAAGUCUUAACAGGGCAGGCAACAGUCUAAAGCAUUUAUGCUGAGUGGGCAUGCAGAUGUCAAUGUUUAAGGAGCACAGAGUUCAGCCUCUUUGCGCAAGUUUGGCCUUCCUGUAUCAAAUGAGCUGCUACCUAGUUAACAAUCCACCAUUACUAGCUAACAUGGGCUAUUCAAGCUCAAAUGGAGAUUUUAAACCAGGCUGGAAACAUGUUUAUUUUUGCAGCAAAUUGUACACUGAAGGAGCUGCAAUUUAGUAGUAGUUUAGUACCUUUCAUCAGCCCCCCCCCCCCCCAAAAAAAAAUAAAAUAAAAUAAAAUAAAAUAAAAUAAAUAAAUAAAUAAAUAAAUAAAAAAAAUAAAUAAAUAAAAAAGAGUCAGGAACCUCUGUAAUGUUGACUAUAUGACAGGUACAGAAAAGAGACCUUCAGUUUACUUCUGGCGCACAAGAUGUAUCAGCAAUGAUCUUCAAGAGGUUGGCAGGGCUGUUUUUGGUCAAGUUGUUAUCCUCCACAUCUUUGGAAGAUCUGUUGAGUUCAAUCAUGCUUAUCUACUUUAAGAUUGGUCAUUGAGAUAGCAAAGACAUCAUCUGUGCAGCUUUGGAGGUGCAGUCUCUGGGCAGUGAUAAGUGAGGACAUGGUGACUGGGUAGAGACUUAUGCCCCUGUUGAAACUAUUUUAUUUCAUCUUUUUACUCCAGAAGGAUGACUCAAAAAUGACAUGAGCACUUUAUUUAUUGACACAUCAAUUUAUUUUUGACCAUUCUGACCAUUGUUCCACUCAGCCGCUCUUUGUCUCUCCUCACAGGCAAUAAAUAGCACCUGGUUUCUGUCCACAACAAACCCUCACAUGGAAAAAGAAUUAAGCAGAAGAGAUGACAGGCAAAAGUGUGGAAUAAUUCGAGAUAGAGAGGCUGUGCUGGGGUGAGUCAGAGGCAAGCUAUGCUGGCACUGCUCCCGAAAAGUCACAUUAUUUGGUGGUGAGCAUAGAGGGCAGCCAGACAUCAUGAUACCAUAGAGAGCCCUGUCACAAGUGAUGAAAGUGAAGGCGAUUACCACAUUUGUGUGUGUGUGUGUGUGUGUGUGUGUGUGUGUGUGUGGUUAAAUGACAUGUUCAAAAAGUGUACCUGUUGUUGUCUUUGUGUAUAUGUGUGAGUGAGUGUGUAGCUAUGUGUGCAUAUGUGUCAGCAGGUCAGGGUGGUGUCCUUGGCCUUGUAAGGUAGGGUUACCAGGGGUUAUAUAUUUGAUCCCUGCUCUCCCUGCAGGUCUAGUGGCUGCUCCCUCUUCACCUGGCCUCUGUAAGUCUGCACUACAUUUCCUAACACAACAUUUCUCCCACUUGAUUUGAUGUUUUCAUAACUUUAUUUGAAUACAAAGGAUUGCUCGAAGAGCACACUUUUAAAAUAUGAUGGAGCUAAUACUACUAAUAUGAAAAACAGGAAAUGCCCCUGUGAGUAAGAUCUUCUGAUUUAAAACAUUUUAAAUCAACAUUGAUAUCUAAUUGAUGGUUUUCUCUGCCCACUUCAGGUGCAUCACUGAACAACACUCUGAAGUCUGAGCUCACCUGACAUCUGACUUGAUCCUACGGGUAAUUUCUUUUGAAUUAAAUAUUCUUGAGAUAUGGCUUAUAAACUGAUGUUUUUAAAAAGUCAAAGUGUGAUUCUAACAGAUAGGGUCAUACUUAUAUUGUGGGAACCAACUAUGGAAAGUAUUGUAAAACAUUACAUUUCAUGGUGAAAAUUGAGAGUCAUGAUCAAUCACUAAUAAACAAAUGUAAAUUAGUGCAGCCAUGGGGGAUGCAGAGAUGUCUGUGUUUGGGGCAGCUGCCCCAUACCUGAGGAAGUCGGACAAGGAGCGUAUGGAAGCCUCCACACGUCUCUUUGACAUAAAGAAGGAAUGCUUCGUCCCAGAUCCAGUGGAAGAGUUUGUGAAGGCAACCAUCACCAGCAGAGAUGGAGACAAGGUCACCGUGGAGACACAGAGAGGGAAGGUGAGUAAAUACAUGUCAACAUUCAUAAACUUGGUUUGUAUUUUCUAAGCCUCACACAAUGCUCAUCAACAUGAGCUUAAAAUGUCAAAAAAGUACUGCAAAAACUACUGUGAGGUUCAUCUGGAUGCAGGUUUUGGAUGGAUUUUUUAAAGUGUAGAUACAUAACGUUUAUUUUGGGGCCCAGAGGCCAGUAUUCAUCAUUAAUUCAGGGCCAAAACAUUGUGCCUUUACCUACCAAGUAGGUACAUGCUAGCUUUAAUGCUAGAUCCUCAUCAUUUUCUGGUUUUGCCAACUAUCUGUCUGAGAAUUUUAAACUCCACCUGGUUAGUCUGUUGAGUUGUGUUACAUGAGUAAAAGGCUAUAUGUGAGUGUGGGUGUGGAGUCCUAUCAGAGUGUUUAUCUGAGUGUUAAUCUACGUGAAAUCUAAAGCAGCCAUCCUUAAGUGAGUGUAAAUACAAGUUUUAAUGGGGGUGCAAGAACUACUGUAGUUGAAAUGUCUCCUGUCAAAACACUGAGGAACAGAGGGACGAAACAAAUGACUGUUACCAUCUGGCAACAAGAGGCAUGUUCUCAAAUGGUUUGAAAGAAAUACUGAGGUGAAUCUCGUGGAAGUACAAGCCAAAAGAGAUGUCUGAAUUGAUGUGAUGAUACAUAUUUUAUUUAUUGAGAAAGUCUGUUUUUUUCUAGACUGCGACAGUCAAGGACUCACAGAUUCUGCAACAGAAUCCUCCAAAAUUCGACAAGAUUGAGGACAUGGCCAUGUUGACCUUCCUCCAUGAACCAGCUGUGCUGUUUAACCUCAAGGAGCGUUACGCAGCAUGGAUGAUCUACGUAAGUAGCCUUUGAUUUGAGAUUUGUUGUAACCUGAACUGCUCACCAUCCAAAGUCUGGAUCAAAAAGCUCUAUAGACUCAUAAUUAUUGAUCUGGAAAAAUAAUCUAAGUCGGAUCUAUUUAGAUAUUAUACAGCAAAAGUAUCUCUGUACUCUUAAACAGAUAUUUUAUUCAAAGUUAUUACCACAGACUUUUCUGAUCAAACAUGUUCCCAUAUUUCUUUUUAAAGAUCAUCUAUUAAAUUCUACAAUCAAAUAUCAGGGCCACAUUAGGGAAAAAUAUUGAGAUUGUGAGAAUAAAGUUGUUAUGUAUCAGGAAAAAAGUCAUUAGUUAAGGAGGAGUUUGAGCGACAAAAAACGAGGUGUUUUAGACGGAGGCUGAAAAAAAGAUAUUUUAAUACACCGAAAGUGUAGUGAGUGCGAAACAGUUUUUUUUUAUCCCAAAAUUAUGUGAAGAUAUAAAAGACGUAUCAGAAAGGAAAUAGAGUCUGAAAAAAAUGCACCCCCCCCGAAGUAUUCAUUCCAUUUUAUUUUAUGUAAUUUUUUUUUAAAUGGUUCUUUUUUUUUUAUUGUUUUAGUAUUUUAUUUAACCUUCUGUUGUUAUUUUACAUCAGUUUGUUCUUUUGUGAAGCACUUUGGGCUGCAUGUAUGAAAUCUUUUAUAUGACUAAAGCUAAGUUGAGUUUGGCGCUCAGGAUGCUGAAAACUUUGAAAUGUGUUUAAAAAGAAAAUAAGAACCUUGAUGGACACAGCUCCUUGUAAAUUUUCCUUUGUGAAUCUCAGACCUACUCUGGGCUCUUCUGUGUGACUGUCAACCCCUACAAGUGGCUCCCAGUCUACAACCAAGAGGUGGUGAUUGCUUACAGAGGAAAGAAGAGGAGUGAAGCUCCUCCUCACAUCUUCUCCAUCUCUGAUAAUGCCUAUCAGUACAUGCUGGCAGGUAAGACAAGAUUAAAAGUCAGUGUUCAAAGUCCCCCCCUUUGAGGUAACUUUUAUAGGGAGAUCAUGUUGAUAGUUUGAAAUAACAAAAUCAAACUCUCUCUAUUUUUAUUUUAUUUUUUUUCUAGACCGUGAAAACCAGUCCAUCCUGAUCACGUAAGAAACAUCUACCACUUGAUCCUCUGAGAAAACCAGCUAGUUCUUCAUGAUGCUUAAGUUAGUAUUGAUCACUGACUGUAAUUUCAGCGGAGAAUCUGGUGCUGGAAAGACUGUUAACACAAAGAGAGUAAUCCAGUAUUUCGCAAGUAUUGCUGCUGGAGGAAUUAAGAAAGACCCCAGUGCCAAAGACAAGGUAAUCUGUUAAAUGAGUUUUUGGGACUCUUAAACCAGACAAAACUUCAGAUGACAGACAGAGAAACAAUAAGAUGAUUGCAAACAAACAAACAAACAAACAAACAAACAAACAAACAAACAGAUUGCAGAUUGAGACAUCACCAAGCUUGAGAUAGGCUGCUCUUCAAGAUAAGGCUGCUCGAUUAUGACAAAAUCAUGAUCAUUUCUAUUACUUUUGAUAUCACGAUUAUUCAAAAAUGGUUACCUAUGAUUUGUCACCUCAAUCACAUACUACUUAGCAACUUAAAACCUUUUUUAAACUAAAAAACUUCUUUUAAACACAAGAAGUGAAAAAAACUGUUGACCUUUUUUUUGUUGUUGUUUACUGAAGCACUUCUGUGUGUUUAAAUGGACUGUGCAUAAAUUCUUCUCUUCACUUUUAGAGCAUUGGCUUCAUUUUGGGGUUAAUAUCCACUUAAUUAAAGCCAAGAUUUCACUUGUGCUCCCAAAC